rnacentral:rRNA from 1 species
AGCGUAGGCGGCGCGGUAAGUCAGAUGUGAAAUCCCGGGGCUCAACCCCGGAACUGCAUCCGAUACUGCCGUGCUAGAGUUUUGGAGGGGUAGUCGGAAUUCACGGUGUAGCAGUGAAAUGCGUGGAUAUCGUGAGGAACACUCGUGGCGAAAGCGGACUACUGGACAACAACUGACGCUGAGGCUCGAAGGCCAGGGGAGCGAAAG